GUUAUUUUUUAAAUGUUUUAAAAAUUAAAACAUAAAAAUAUAUCAUUAAAAAACCAUAACAUUACUAAGUGUAAUGACUUGUCAAUAUGCUGGAAGUUUAGGAAAUUUUCUUCACCGAAACUCUGGAUUUCUAUUUUGUUUUCAGGACACUGGGUUACUACGUAUAAUUUGAGGAUAUGAGGAAUUAUUUAAUUUAAUAUUAAAUUUUCUUGUUACAAUUUGGAACUAUUAUAUUUUAAGAAUCUAGUUAAUUCCGCACUUCAGGCAAAUCUUUAAGUCUGCAAUGUUUUGCAAUGCAAUGAGAGACAGAUAGAUGGGAUGGAUUUAAUGGUACCAAAGAUGGAAAAGUGAGUGGCAAGGACUAAGACCAUCCUUGCUGACAGGAAAGCAGGAGCAAGAGGAGAUGCUCUUAUUAAAGGAUCAUCCUACAAAACUGUCCUUGCGGUUUACUGUAACUAAUGUUUCUAAUGCAAUCCUAAAACUACAUAACACUGGAGGUCAUAUUAGUCAGCACUAGGGGAGAAAUGUCUUCUGCUGAACAACAUCCUUAACACCCCUCAGCAGAAUCAGAGAAUGCGGACAGAAGAAAUGCUCUAUGAGCUGGGGGAGUUUUUAUUAGAAAGGACUUAUCCACUUGGAAAAAAAGCAGUACAGCAGAGGCUAACACCACCAAUCAUUGAACAGAAAAAGGAUUGUAGAGUCAUAACUGGGAAGAAGUGUAAUUCAUCUAGAUCGUUCUUCAAGCUCCAGAGGAUUGUUAUUCAUUCACGGAUUGUGAACUAAAUAUUUCUCUUAAAUGUAAAGUGGACCAGAGUUAGUUUUUUCUCCCUAUGACUUUGGUCAGAUGGCCAUGGAUUUUGUGAACAUUCAAUAAAUAUUUAUUAGUAUUAAUGGUUCUGUAUCUUCAGUGAAAUAUUGUCCUGCCCUAUAAUCCUUUCAGUUUUCAGUCUAAAAUUUUUUUUCACAACAAAUUUUAACCUAUUCUAUAUUUGUUGUAAAUGGAACAUUAAAAACUGAGAAUGACGAAUGGCCUCCUUAGACUGUUGCUUCUCAUGUACAAAGUCAUAUCACGGCCACUGUUUUCUCUGGGUUUUAAAUAUUUACUAAUAGUCUCUAUUUUUAGUCCAUCGUCACUCCAUCUUCCAUGAAAUCAAUGCCAGUAAAACAUCAUUGGAAUCUAUUGGCUACAAAAUAUUCCCCUGCGCUAAAGUCAUGGCAUAAAAGGGGCUGAAAUCCUGGGCUUUCUGGGCAGAAGGAUCUACGAGCGGGAUCGUGGGUGAAACAUGAAGAUGAUGGUGGACAGGUGAGCUACGCAGUUCGUGGAAGAACCAGGGGUCACAUGGCCUAGAUGCUACCCUAGAUGAGAAAGAGUCCAAUGGUUAUCAACAAGUUCUGAAAGGCAAGGCCUAAGGUACUGAAAAUUAUAUUACUCAAAGCUGAAGGCAGCAAAUCUGUUCAUGUUUACACAGUUGGGAAAGUGGACUUGUGUUUUUUACAAGCAAACCAGUGACCAGCCAAUGGCAGGAGACCUUCCCCACCCCUAAAGGUGAUGCUCACCUACCGUCAUGGGUAAAAGGAAGCUCUGGCUCGAAUUCCUCAUGUAUUAUUCAUGUGUGAUGCCACCCAACGUGAUUCAGAGAAGAAAAUUCUCAGUGUGUUCACCAGAGGUGAUUACAUGAGAAUAAAGCACGGCCUGAUUUUUUUUCUUGUUCACAGGAAAAAAAAAA
rnacentral:lncRNA from 1 species